rnacentral:rRNA from 1 species
AACUAACGCUGGCGGCGUGCCUAACACAUGCAAGUCGAACGAGAAGCCCGCAAGGGUUGUAAAGUGGCGGACGGGUGCGUAACACGUGGGUAAUCUACCCUAUGGCCUGGGAUAACCUGCCGAAAGGCGGGCUAAUACCGGAUAAGACCACGGCUCUGCGGAGCUGUGGGAAAAGACCCGCAAGGGUCACCGUUUGAUGAGCCCGCGGCCUAUCACGGUAGUUGGUGGGGUAAUGGCUCACCAAGCCUACGACGGGUAGGCUGGUCUGAGAGGACGACCAGUCACACUGGAACUGAGGCACGGUCCAGACUCCUACGGGAGGCAGCAGUGGGGAAUAUUGCGCAAUGGGCGAAAGCCUGACGCAGCAACGCCGCGUGGGUGAUGAAGGCCUUCGGGUUGUAAAGCCCUGUCGCCCGGGACGAACAAGCUCGUGAAGAACGAGCCCUGACGGUACCGGGAGAGGAAGCACCGGCUAACUCUGUGCCAGCCGCCGCGGUAA